GUCUCUCUCGCUGGCUUUUUAAAAAUGAGGAACCGCUCCUUGAAUGUUCUGGACAGAGCACAGAAUUGCUUCUUAAGUCAGCCCGGCGCGGUUGCAAUAGACAGCAAAAAGGUAAACGUUUGCCUGAAAUCCGCACGCCAGCUCCACCGCCCCGCCCGAUGGUCCCAGUUCCUCUGGGAAUCGUCCUGUAUGCAACAUCUUCACAAGAGUGGCAGGCAGUUGAAUCUCUGGCCUUCGUGGGACCACUGGACAUCUGGCAGAGAACCAGGAAACCACGGUUCCCUUCUGUGAGUCCCUCAGCCGGAAAACUACAAGCUCCUCAUGCAGCUGCUGUCUACAGACCCCCUGGACUGCCUGGGGAAGUGAGUCGGAGCUCCUGCAGCAGAGGGGUGGAACAGCUACACGAAGAUCCGAAGGUGGCCAAAAAUAACAGCGCUUUCCAGAUGAGGGAGCCAGUUGUCCAGCACAGUGUCAUGGGACAGUGGGCCCUGGUGCCACAAUGCCCGGCAUCUCCA
rnacentral:lncRNA from 1 species